rnacentral:rRNA from 1 species
AGUGAAUGCUGGCGGCAGGCCUAAUACAUGCAAGUUGAACGGCAGCACAGCAGAGCUUGCUCUGUGGGUGGCGAGUGGCGGACGGGUGAGGAAUACAUGGGAAUCUGCCCAGUCGUGGGGGAUAACGUAUGGAAACGUACGCUAAUACCGCAUGCGCCCUACGGGGGAAAGUCGGGGACCGCAAGGCCUGACGCGAUUGGAUGAGCCCAUGUUCGAUUAGCUAGUUGGCGGGGUAAAGGCCCACCAAGGCGACGAUCGAUAGCUGGUCUGAGAGGAUGAUCAGCCACACUGGAACUGAGACACGGUCCAGACUCCUACGGGAGGCAGCAGUAGGGAAUAUUGGACAAUGGGGGCAACCCUGAUCCAGCCAUGCCGCGUGAGUGAAGAAGGCCCUCGGGUUGUAAAGCUCUUUUGUCCGGAAAGAAAGCAUCUGGUUAAUACCCGGGUGUUCUGACGGUACCGGAAGAAUAAGCACCGGCUAACUUCGUG